rnacentral:rRNA from 1 species
CAGUCGCCGCGGUAAUACGAAGGGGGCUAGCGUUGCUCGGAAUUACUGGGCGUAAAGGGAGCGUAGGCGGAUCGUUAAGUUGGGGGUGAAAGCCCGGGGCUCAACCUCGGAAUUGCCUUCAAUACUGGCGAUCUUGAGUAUGGAAGAGGUAUGUGGAACUCCGAGUGUAGAGGUGAAAUUCGUAGAUAUUCGGAAGAACAUCAGUGGCGAAGGCGGCUUACUGGUCCACAACUGACGCUGAGGUGCGAAAGCGUGGGGAGCAGACAGGAUUAGAUACCCCUGUAGUCCCUGUCUCUUAUAA